GCCUGAGUGGCUCAGUUGGUUAAGUGUCUGACUUCAGCUCAGAUCAUGAUCUCACGACUUGUGAGUUCAAUCCCCUCAUUGGGCU
rnacentral:tRNA from 1 species